rnacentral:rRNA from 1 species
AUACGUAGGGGGCGAGCGUUGUCCGGAAUGAUUGGGCGUAAAGGGCGCGUAGGCGGCCCGGUAAGUCUGGAGUGAAAGUCCUGUUUUUAAGAUGGGAAUUGCUUUGGAUACUGUCGGGCUUGAGUGCAGGAGAGGUAAGUGGAAUUCCCAGUGUAGCGGUGAAAUGCGUAGAGAUUGGGAGGAACACCAGUGGAGAAGGCGACUUACUGGACUGUAACUGACGCUGAGGCGCGUAAGUGUGGGGAGCAAACAGGAUUAGAUACCCUGGUAGUCCACACUGUAAACGAUGAAUGCUAGGUGUAGGGGGUAUCGACCCCUUCUGUGCCGCAGUCAACACAAUAAGCAUUCCGCCUGGGGAGUACGGCCGCAAGGUUGAAACUCAAAGGAAUUGACGGGG